rnacentral:rRNA from 1 species
CAAUAGCGUAUAUUAAAGCUGUUGCGGUUAAAAAGCUCGUAGUUGGAUUUCUGUCAAGGACAACUGGUCCGCCCCUCGGGUGAGCACAUAGUUUGGUCUUGGCAUCUUGUUGGAAACUGUUGCUGCACUUGGUUGUGUGGCGCAGUGUCCAGCACUUUCACUUUGAGGAAAUUGGAGUGUUUCAAGCAGGCACAUGCCUUUGGACACAGCAGCAUGGAAUAAUUAGAUUGGGCUUUUGCUCCAACUUGUCGGUUUCUGGAGCUGAGGUGAGAAUUAAUGGGGAUUGUUGGGGGCAUCCGAAUUUAGCCGUCAGAGGUGAAAUUCUUGGAUCUGCUAAAGACGGACAACUGCGAAAGCGUUUGCCCAGGAUGUUUUCAUUGA